AAAUAAUUCAUGGCAGCCGUAGAUUUGUUUUCAUUUAACCAUGGGUUGGGCAUUUAUAUUCGAAUAUUUUACCCUGAGCGUUAAAUGAAAACAAAUCUACGGCUGCCAUAAAUUAUUUCGAU
rnacentral:sRNA from 1 species